CUCGUUAAGGAAUUAGGCAAAUUUCCCCCGUACGUUCGCAAUAAGGGGGGCCUCUGGUGGUGAGCUUAAUCGCAAAGCUGCUGGAGGCCGCAGAGAAAUGGCUCUUCCAACUGUUUAACAAAAACACAGGUCUCUGCUAAGUCGAAAGACGAAGUAUAGGGGCUGACGCCUGCCCAGUGCUGGAAGGUUAAGGGGAGAGGUUAGGCGCAAGCCGAAGCUUUGAGCCGAAGCCCCAGUGAACGGCGGCCGUAACGAUAACGGUCCUAAGGUAGCGAAAUUCCUUGUCGGGUAAGUUCCGACCCGCACGAAUGGCGUAAUGAGAGGAGCACUGUCUCAACGAGGGACUCGGCGAACAUUGAAGGACGUGUGAAGAUACACGUGACCCGCAGCGGGACAAAAAGACCCCGUGAAGCUUUACUACAACUUGCCAUUGAGUUAGGGCUAAACCUGUGUAGUAUAGGUGGGAGGCUUUGAAGCUGGGACGCCAGUCUCGGUGGAGCCACCGUUGAAAUACCACCCUGGUUUAUUCUUGGCUCUAACCUGUCGCCGUUAUCCGGCAUGGGAACAGUGGCUGGUGGGUAGUUUGACUGGGGCGGUCGCCUCCGAAAGCGUAACAGAGGCGCCCAAAGGUUCCCUCAGGCUGAAUGGAAACCAGCCGUUGAGUGUAAAGGCACAAGGGAGCUUGACUGCAAGACCAACAAGUCGCGCAGGGACGAAAGUCGGGCUUAGUGAUCCCACGGUUCAGAGUGGAAUGGCCGUGGCUUACCGGAUAAAAGCUACUCCGGGGAUAACAGGGUAGUCUGGUCCAAGAGUUCAUAUCGACGACCAGGUUCGCCACCUCGAUGUCGGCUCAUCACAUCCUGGGGCUGGAUAAGGUCCCAAGGGUUGGGCUGUUCGCCCAUUAAAGUGGUACGUGAGCUGGGUUCAGACCGUCGUGAGACAGGUCGGUCUCUAUCCGCUGUGGGCGUAAGGGAUUUGAGAGAAGCUGCCCCUAGUACGAGAGGACCGGGGUGGACGGACCUCUAGUGUGCCAGUUGUUCUGCCAAGAGCAUUGCUGGGUAGCUACGUCCGGCAGAGAUAACCGCUGAAAGCAUCUAAGUGGGAAACUCGUCUCAAGAUUAGAUCCCUCAUCCGUAUGGAGUAAGACCGCUAGAAGACUACUAGUUUGAUAGGCGGCAGGUGUAAGCGCAGUAAUGUGUUCAGCUUAGCCGUACUAAUGGUCGAGGGCUUACGUUU
rnacentral:rRNA from 1 species